rnacentral:rRNA from 1 species
AGCGAACGCUGGCGGCAGGCCUAACACAUGCAAGUCGAGCGCCCAGCAAUGGGAGCGGCAGACGGGAUAGUAACACGUGGGAACGUACCCUUCAGUUCGGAACAACCCAGGGAAACUUGGGCUAAUACCGAAUACGUCCGUAAGGAGAAAGAUUUAUCGCUGAAGGAUCGGCCCGCGUCUGAUUAGCUAGUUGGUGAGGUAAUGGCUCACCAAGGCGACGAUCAGUAGCUGGUCNGAGAGGAUGAUCAGCAUCACUGGGACUGAGACACGGCCCAGACUCCUACGGGAGGCAGCAGUGGGGAAUAUUGGGACAAUGGGCGCAAGCCUGAUCCAGCCAUGCCGCGUGGAUGAUGAAGGCCCUAGGGUUGUAAAGUCCUUUCGACGGGGAAGAUAAUGACGGUACCCG